GACGAACGCUGGCGGCGUGCUUAACACAUGCAAGUCGAACGGAAAGGCCCUGCUUUUGUGGGGUGCUCGAGUGGCGAACGGGUGAGUAACACGUGAGUAACCUGCCCUUGACUUUGGGAUAACUUCAGGAAACUGGGGCUAAUACCGGAUAGGAGCUCCUGCUGCAUGGUGGGGGUUGGAAAGUUUCGGCGGUUGGGGAUGGACUCGCGGCUUAUCAGCUUGUUGGUGGGGUAGUGGCUUACCAUGGCUUUGACGGGUAGCCGGCCUGAGAGGGUGACCGGCCACAUUGGGACUGAGAUACGGCCCAGACUCCUACGGGAGGCAGCAGUGGGGAAUAGUGCACAAUGGGCGGAAGCCGGAUGCAGCAACGCCGCGUGCGGGAUGACGGCCUUCGGGUUGUAAACCGCUUUCGCCUGUGACGAAGCGUGAGUGACGGUAAUGGGUAAAGAAGCACCGGCUAACUACGU
rnacentral:rRNA from 1 species